rnacentral:rRNA from 1 species
UGACCUCGGAUCAGGUAGGAAUACCCGCUGAACUUAAGCAUAUCAAUAAGCGGAGGAAAAUUUUGUUGGAACGGGCCAUGGCAGACCGAAACCUUUUGUGACUGAUACCCCUGCUGCUUCGGCGGGUGGCCUCUCUCAGGAACGCCCCCAAAAUCGGGGACCCAGUCCCGCCUCCCCCUACCUGUGAUGAAUUGAGAAAUCAUCCCAUCCCAACCAUUUGUGUGUA